rnacentral:rRNA from 1 species
CUCGAGGCCAGAUCUUUCCGGUUGAUCCCGCCGGACCUGACUGCUAUCGGAUUGAUACUAAGCCAUGCGAGUCUUUGUAGCAAUACAAGGCAGACGGCUCAGUAACACGUAGUCAAUCUACCCUAUGGACGGGGAUAACCUCGGGAAACUGAGAAUAAUACCCGAUAGAUCAUUAUGCCUGGAAUGGUUUAUGGUCGAAAUGAUUUAUCGCCGCAGGAUGGGACUGCGGUCUAUCAGCUUGUUGGUGAGGUAAUGGCCCACCAAGGCUAUAACAGAUACGGGCUCUGAGAGGAGAAGCCCGGAGAUGGGUACUGAGACACGGACCCAGGCCCUAUGGGGCGCAGCAGGCGAGAAAACUUUGCAAUGUGCGAAAGCACGACAAGGUUAAUCCGAGUGUUUUCUGCUAAAGAAAUCUUUUGUCAGUCCUAAAAACACUGAUGAAUAAGGGGUGGGCAAGUUCUGGUGUCAGCCGCCGCGGUAAAACCAGCACCUCAAGUGGUCAGGAGGAUUAUUGGGCCUAAAGCAUCCGUAGCCGGCCGUGUAAGUUUUCGGUUAAA